rnacentral:rRNA from 1 species
AACGAACGCUGGCGGCAUGCCUAACACAUGCAAGUCGAACGAACCUUUCGGGGUUAGUGGCGGACGGGUGAGUAACACGUGGGAACGUGCCCUUAAGUUCGGAAUAACUCAGGGAAACGUGUGCUAAUACCGAAUGUGCCCUUCGGGGGAAAGAUUUAUCGCCUUUCGAGGGGCCCGCGUCUGAUUAGCUAGUUGGUUGAGGUAAAGGCUCACCAAGGCGACGAUCAGUAGCUGGUCUGAGAGGAUGAUCAGCCACAUUGGGACUGAGACACGGCCCAAACUCCUACGGGAGGCAGCAGUGGGGAAUCUUGCGCAAUGGGCGAAAGCCUGACGCAGCCAUGCCGCGUGAAUGAUGAAGGUCUUAGGAUUGUAAAAUUCUUUUACCGGGGACGAUAAUGACGGUACCCGGAGAAGAAGCCCCGGCUAACUUCGUG